CCUAAAACUUUCCACGUGAACCGUUAUAAUUAUGUUCUGUGCUUCGUCGCAAGACUUGAGGCUGAACGAAGGUGAGUCUGCGUCUAUUUUGGAUGCGGAUUUGCUGAUGUUAUUUUAAACACCUAUUACUUAAUACUGAACUAUACUCCGAAUACGAAAGUUUUUGGUUUUAACAAUUAACAACUUUCAGCAGUGGAUGUCUAGGCUCGCACAUCGAUGAAGAACGCUGCGAACUGCGAUACGUAAUGCGAAUUGCAGAAUUCAGUGAGUCAUCGAAAUUUUGAACGCAUAUUGCACUUUCGGGUUAUGCCUGGAAGUAUGCCUGUAUCAGUGUCCGUACAUCAAACUUGCCUUUCUUUUUUUGUGUAGUCAAAAUUAGAGAUGGCAGAAUGUGAGGUGUCUCGCGCUGUCUUUUUAAAGAUGGUUCGAGUCCCUUUAAAUGUACGUUGAUUCUUUCUUGUGUCUGCGAAUUGCGAUGCUAUGCUCUUUGUGAUCGGUUUAGAUUGCUUUGCGCUGGUGGGCGACUUCGGUUAGGACAUAUGGAAGCAACCUCAAUUGGCGGUAUGUUCGGCUUUGCCUGACGUUAAGCUAAGCGAGUGUGGUUUUCUGUCUUUUCCUUGAGGUGUACCUGUCGUGUGUGAGGUUGAUUUAGGCUAUAUGGUUGCUUGGUUGUGUGGUUUAGCGUUUUCAGACGCCUGCUUCGGUAGGUAAAGGAGACAACACCAAUUUGGGACUGAGAGUUUACUCUCUUUUUCACUUUGGACCUGAUAUCAGGUAAGACUACCCGCUGAACUUAAG
rnacentral:rRNA from 1 species